rnacentral:misc_RNA from 1 species
GAUGAAGAACGCAGCGAAAUGCGAUAAGUAAUGUGAAUUGCAGAAUUCAGUGAAUCAUCGAAUCUUUGAACGCACAUUGCGCCCCUUGGUAUUCCGGGGGGCAUGCCUGUUCGAGCGUCAUUUCAACCCUCAAGCUUCUGCUUGGUCUUGGGCCGUGCCGGCAACGGCUGGCCUUAAAACUAGUGGCGGUGCCAUCGAGCUCUACGCGUAGUAAUUCUAUCUCGCGUCUGGGCUUCGGUGGACGCUGGCCAGCAACCCCCAAUUUUCUAUGGUUGACCUCGGAUCAGGUAGGGAUACCUGCUGAACUUAAGCAUAUCAAUAAGCGGAGGA